rnacentral:pre_miRNA from 1 species
AAUAAAUGUAUUUUUUAGUUUUUGGAAACAAUGUUUGACUCUUCGUCUUAUUUGAUAUUUUUUACAAUUAUUAUUAUUAUUAGAUAAUAAAAUAUAAAUAAUACUUUACGCAUGACUAAUUUUUAUAAGUUCUUUAUAAUUUUUUUAAAUAUGAUGGAUGGUCAAACGCUGAACACAGAAAU